rnacentral:lncRNA from 1 species
UGCAAAUUUAGUAUAUGCAUAUUUUUAAUUAAGGGAAUGUUUAAUGUUUGACUAUCUAACUUCCUUCCAGUCAAGCUGUGCCUUAGCUGAGCUUUGGUGCUGAAGACCAAUUCACAAUAACUCACAACUCUCCUGACACCCACUCCUCGAGUGACCUUCGGGCCUUUUCAGAGGAUAUCU